rnacentral:rRNA from 1 species
UACAGAGGUCUCAAGCGUUGUUCGGAUUCAUUGGGCGUAAAGGGUGUGUAGGUGGCGCCGUAAGUCGGGUGUGAAAUUUCGGAGCUUAACUCCGAAACUGCAUUCGAUACUGCGGUGCUUGAGGACUGGAGAGGAGACUGGAAUUCAUGGUGUAGCAGUGAAAUGCGUAGAGAUCGUGAGGAAGACCAGUGGCGAAGGCGGGUCUCUGGACGGCAACUGACGCUGAGGCACGAAAGCGUGGGGAGCAAACAGG